CUCUCCACAAUCCCUUUGGUCCCGGAUAGUGCAGGCCAGAGGGGACGGAUCACAGUGAUACUCGACAGAGUACCACAUUUACUCUCCACAAUCCCUUUGGUCCCGAAUAGGACAGGCCAGAGGGGACGGAUCACAGUGAUACUCGACAGAGUACCACAUUUACUCUCCACAAUCCCUUUGGUCCCGGAUAGGGCAGGCCAGAGGGGACGGUGAUACAGGCGGCUGUGAUCAGGCUCACCAUACAGGCAGGCUCUUUUCUCACUGCUGUAAUCAGGUAGAAGGUACAAGAGCCUCAGGACUCGCCCCACCAGGGUCAGGAACAGUUACUACCCCUCAACCAUCAGGCUGUGGAACAACACAGGAUAACUGCACUCACUUGAUGUCCAUAGAGUUGCUCCCACAACAAAUGAUCGUACUGGGACUGUCUCAAAAUGAGUGAAACAAGAGGUGGUUUAACUGAGACAGAUUGUAUUCCUGUCUCAGAAUUAGAGAAAUAUAAUCUCACAAGAUAUUUAAAGUGGAUGUGCUGGAAUGAUGUUUCCCAGAAGGUGUGGAACCAGCACUCACAAACUCAGAAUACGAGGAGAACUGAGCAGGACUGAGGUUAGGAGAAAUGUCCUCACCCAGAGUGCAGUGAAUCAUUGCAAUUAUCUCCACAAGGUUUCGAAAUUGAAUAGACAUAUCCUGGGGCUCAGCGGUGAUGGAAAGUUGCAGGAAAGUGGUGCUGAGGUCAAAAGUCAAGCAUGUUCUGAGUUGAAGGACAGUGGUAGCGCAAGGGGCCGAAUGGCCACGCCUUCUCGAUUUCUUGUUUUCUGAAACACUCGGUAACCUUUGUGCCUCACUGUUUCUUGUCCUGUCAGAUUGAACAGGGAGAGCUGAGAGCACCGGACAUCUAUCGGCAGCCGCUGCGGUUAUUUCAUGUUCUCAUUGUUUAUUUGCAUUGGCGAAGUUUGUUGUCUUCUGCACUCUGGUUGAUCUUUCAGUGAUCCAGAUAUAGUUACCAUUCUGUAGCUUUGCUCUGCAUGUUUGCAGGAAUUGUUUGUGGCGACUUAUAUGUACUCUGUUAGUUUUUGGAAUAGUCACUUGGGGAAUCUGAGGUGGAGGAGUAUUUGGGGCUUAUUUUAAAUUAUACAUAGAUAUUAUCCAAAUAAUGUUUAUUUGACAAGGGUUAAUUCUGAUAUUGAGACUAACUGUUCUUUUUGUGGUUGAUAUCCAGAGGAUUUAUUUCAUCUGUUUUGGGAUUGUGAAUAUGUUAAAACAUUUUGGUUUGAUGUUUGUCAAUUUAUAGAUUAAUAUAUUAAUGUGGAUUUUACUUUUUGUUUUGAAAAUGUCUUAUUGGGUUUACUAGUAAUACCAAAUCUCACAAGGAUCAUUUCUCUAUCAUAAAUCUUUUGUUAAUUUACAGCAAAUUUUGUAUCCAUAAAUGCAAACACAGCAAUAAGAAACCUUCAUUUAGAUUUUUACCUCAGACUUCAAACUAUACGUUUAUACUCUGAACACUUCCCGUAACCAGAAACCUGUAAAGACUGUACAAAUCUGUCAAUAUUUUGUGUUAUCUCUGUAAACGUUCUUGUUUUGUGACUCCUCUUAGAUACAGUCCCUUCUGUCCAACAGUAUUUAGAGCGGAUUUCCUUGUUUAUUUGUAUAUUUAAAGUUAAUGGUUAUAUAUUCGUUGCUGCUUUUAUGUGAUUCCCUGGCUUUGUUAGCAUAUGUUUAGUGUUUCUGUCUUUGUUUGUGUUCAAUAAAAAUUUAAAAUAUUAAAAAGUAAUUAUAAAAUUUACUUUGAACUUUGAGCCUCGGGGAACUUGCUAUGAGUCUGAGAACAAACGGUGACUGACAUCUCCAGCUCCCGGCAGCAGCCCGCCCUCGGACACACUCACAGCCAAUCAGAGAAGACCACUGGGAGACUCUGGCCUCCAUUGGCUGAGGAGUGUCAGUGGGCGGGACGCUAGGCGGACCGAAGUUUGGAACCGGGAACGAGUGGACCCGGUGAGAGACCCGAGAUUGGGAGCAGCUCCCCGGGUAAAGGCUGCAACAGCGGCCGGAGUUUUGAACCCUUCCGAUGGCGGAGGUGAAGAUUCGGGCGGAGAUUCCGUGAGAUGUUUCAGCCACACAGGGGGAGCCCGGUCUUUCCCCGCCGUGGAUCGGGGCCUGUUGUCCGGAGUUUCCUCCCGGUCCUGUCUCCUGCUGCUGGGAUCCGGGAGCUGGCCCGCAGCGGCUGCCGAUGGAGCUCCGGUGUGUGAGCGCUCCCCUGUGCAAAAGGUCAGGCUGAAGGUCAAGGGAGAACCAGGCACAAAGAUUGAACAGGGAGCGCUGAGAGCACCGGACAUCUAUCGGCAGCCGCUGCCGUUAUUUCAUGUUCUCGUUGUUUAUUUGCAUUGGCGAAGUUUGUUGUCUUCUGCACUCUGGCUGAUCUUUCAGUGAUCCAGAUAUAGCUACCGUUCUGUAGCUUUGCUCUGUAUGUUUGUAGGUGUUGUAUGUGGUGACUUAUAUGUACACUGUUAGUUUUUGGAACAGUCGCUUGGGUAAUCUGAGGUGGAGGAGUAUUUGGGGCUUAUUUAAAACUAUGCAUAGAUAUUAUCCAAAUAGUGUUUAUCUGACGGGUUAAUUCUGAUAUUGAAACUAACUGUUAUUUUUGUGGUUUAUAACCAGAGGAUUUUUUUCAUCUGUUUUGGGAUUGUGAAUAUGUUAAAACAUUUUGGGUUGAUGUUUGUCAAUUUAUAGAUCAUUAUAUUAAUGUGGAUUUUACUUUCUGUUUUGAAAAUGUCUUAUCUGGGUUUACUAAUUUUACUUUGAACUUUGAGCCUUUGGGAACUUGUUUUGUUUCUGAUAUCAAACCUUGACUGACAUAUCCAGCAACCGGCAGCAGCCCGUCCUCGGACACACUCACAGCCAAUCAGAGAACACCCCUGAGAGACUCUUGCCUCCAUUGGCUGAGGAGUGUCAGUGGGCGGGAUGCUGGGCGGACCGAAGUUUGGAACCGGGAACGAGUGGACCCGGUGAGAGACCCGAGAUUGGGAGCAGAUCCCCGGGUAAAGGCUGCAACAGCGGCCGGAGUUUUGAAUCCUUCCGAUGGUGGAGGUGAAGAUUCGGGCGGAGACACCGUGAGAUGUUUCAAUCACACAGGGGGUGCCCGGUCUUUACCCGCCGUGGAUCGGGGCCUGUUGUCCGGAGUUUCCUCCCGGUCCUAUCUCCUGCUGCUGGGAUCCGGGAGCUGGCCCGCAGCGGCUGCCGAUGGAACUCCGGUGUGUGAGCGCUCCCCUGUGCAAAAGGACAGGCUGAAGGUCAAGGGAGAACCAGGCGCAAAGUCAGCCACGGCUUUGUCCAUGCUGGAAUCUUUCCGGUAAUACCAUGGGCUCGUGGGUUGUUAAAGCAGUUUCGUGUGUGGCAUCAUGUCAGAAGCCGUCUGAAAAUCCAGGUGAACAACAUCAAUCGAUUCUCCUUUGUCUGUCCUGCUUGUUAUUUCUUAAAAUAAUUUCUACAGGUUGGUCAGGCAAGAUUUUCCCUUCAGGAAACCAUGCUGACUGUGGCCUAUUUUAUCUUGUGACACGGUACUCUCAGACCUCAUCAUUAAUAAUCGACUCCAACAUCUUCCCAAUCACUGCGUACAGACUAACUGGCCUAUAGUUUCCUUUCUUCUGCCUCUCUCCCUUCUUGAAAAGUGGUGUGACAUUGGCAAUAUUACAUUCUUGAGGAACCAUUCCGGAACAUUGUGAUUCCUGAAUGUUCAUUACUAAUGGGGCCACAAUCUUUUUAGCCACCUCUUUCAGAAAGCCGGGGUGUACACCAUCUGGGUCACGUGACUUAUCUAACUUGGCCUUCCAGUUCCUCAAGAACCUUCACUCUGGUUCUGGUAACUUUGCACACUUCUGACUCCUGACACCCGGAAGUCCCACCAUUCUGCUGGUGUCUUCCUCUGUGAAGACAGACACAACACACUUAUUCAGUCUGUCUACCAUUUCUUUGUCUCCCGUCACUGCCUCUCCAGCAUCGUUUUCCAGCCACCCGAGACUUUAUAUUAGAUAAAAAUUGGGAUAUGUGUGCUUUAAUUGGACAAGAGUGUUGCACCAACACACCAGACAAAUCUGAAAAUGUAACUCACCUGAUGGAUUAUAUUUGAGAGGCAGCAGAUAGAAUGAGAGAAGUGGGAGAGCAGUUCCACAAUGAUAACCCCUCAGUAAGUCAGUGGCCAUUUGGGACUCUGGGACGAUGGUGGGAUACUGGUUUACAUUGUACAGUUCCACAAUGAUAACCCCUCAGGAAGCCGGAGGCCAUUUGGGACUCUGGGAGGAUGGUGGGAUACUGGUUUACAUUGUACAGUUCCACAAUGAUAACCCCUCAGGAAGCCGGUGGCCAUUUGGGACGCUGGGACGAUGGUGGGAUACUGGUUUACAUUGUACAGUUCCACAAUGAUAACCCCUCAGGAAGCCGGUGGCAAUUUGGGACGCUGGGAGGAUGGUGGGAUACUGGUUUACAUUGUACAGUUCCACAAUGAUAACCCCUCAGGAAGCCAUUUUUGGAAUCUGGAUGAGAGAAUACGGUUUUACACUAUGGAAUAACCAUUAGAGUAAUAAUAAUCAGAUUAUGAUUAUUUUACUCUUCCAUGUGACCGAAACGAGGGGACAGAAGGAAUAUUUUGUAAACGCUGUGUUUGAGGUCCCCUCCCAUCCGUGGUGAGAAUGGAGGUGAACUUACCCCCGGCAGGUAAUAAAGAAUAAAGCUGCUUGAUGAAGAAACACUCAGUGUUGGGAUUGUGUUCUGUGAGUCUCAGCAGAGAGAUACUUGACAGGGGGUUAGGGGUGAAAGAUGGGGAGUUUAUGGGGCACAUGAGGGGAUACCUCUUCACUCAGAGGGUCACAGGAGUGUGAAAUGAGCUUCACCCACCCACAACGUCUGCCCCCGAAUGAGGUGGAGCCCAAAUGGCGGGUCCCUCAAAUGAGCUGCUGCCAACCGGAGACCGGGGUCUUCGGGCUGGUUUGUUGCCGCCAGAGAACAUGAUGUGUGUCCCUGGUGAUGGACCCACUGACGGUAGGUGUCGGCGCUGGGGGCGGGGGGUGUUAGUGUUGUACUUGUACGGGUGGGUAGAGAUAUGUCAGAGCCAGCAGAUGCCAGACAAGGGCUCGUCCUUUAUUCUGGGAUGUCCUGGUAUCAGUCGUAACGGGGUUUACCCGACGGUGCAGUCUGGGAGGUCAGGGACUGGGCCGUCUCCAGUGCCAGUACAGUCACUCUCAGCUGAGCCUGGAGUGGGAGCAGGGACGGUUCCUGUUGGGUUACGGACAUGAAGGUCCAAACCCGGGGAGACGCCAUUGUCAAAUUUCACCAAGAAACAAUCAGGCCAAACAACUUCAGGCAGAACUGCUCAGGAUGACAAACAGACAUCAGUACACAGAAAUGACAACUUUUAAAAUCAGAAAUAAACCAAUGUAAAAACAAAUUUAAAACCAGCUCCUUUGCCUGGGUAUGGGUGGAAUGGAAAUGGUCCCGACGCAAAUGAGGUGGUUUCACACCGUCUGCACGACUCAGUCGCCCCAUUGAAGGAGUCGCAGUGGCGAUUGAGUUCGCACUGAGAGGGGGAUUGGACACGGAGUGAAAGGCCUGAUGAGGGUCGGUUUGAUUGCCAAGGGGAUCUGCUGUCUUGUCUUGUGGGCUGGCCACUUACGGCUUCCUCACCGGCUCAGACACUGAAAGCCCGUGUUUCCCUGCACCCCACCCCCCCCACCCCGGAUCCAGGCAGUCUCGUCCCCCUGGGAGAUGAAAGAGAAAGUAAAUUCAUCCGCUUACAACUGGACAAUGAUGUAUGUUAAUUAUUUGGAGAAUGCAGAUCAAACAAUUAGUGAGGUUGUGGAUGUCACCUAAACCGGUGUGUGGAGAAAGUGAGGGUUGUCUAAGGUUACAGUGGGAUCGGGACCAGUUGGGAAAGUGGGCCGAGGAAUUGCAGGUGGAUCUUAGCUGUCACUCAGAAACAGUUCUUCAGGGGGUCAAAGACCACUGAGACACGAAAGAGAGCUUUUCUUGGGCUCUGGAUUCAAACAGACAAGACUGGUGCACUCGUACCAAGGCAGAAUAUAAGUUGUUGCUCCGCCACCCUGCGGGUGCAGUCAUCAAUUAGGAGCAACUUCGCACCAUCCUCCACAAGUCUGACUUACCAG